rnacentral:rRNA from 1 species
UACGUAGGUGGCAAGCGUUGUCCGGAUUUAUUGGGGUUAAAGGGUGCGUAGGCGGCCCUGUAAGUCAGUGCUGAAAUAUCCCAGCUUAACUGGGAGGGUGGCAUUGAUACUGCGGGACUAGAGUACAGAUGAGGUAGGCGGAAUUGACGGUGUAGCGGUGAAAUGCUUAGAUAUCGUCAAGAACACCUAUAGCGAAGGCAGCUUACUAGGCUGUAACUGACGCUGAGGCACGAAAGUGUGGGGAUCAAACAGG